CGAGGAAUAAUGGUCAAUGGGCGCAAGGCUGAACCAGCCAUCCCGCGUGCAGGAAGACGGCCCUAUGGGUUGUAAACUGCUUUUCCAGGGGGAGAAUUUUUCUGUCGUGACAGGAAUUGACGGUACCCAGGGAAUAAGCAUCGGCUAACUCCGUGCCAGCAGCCGCGGUAAUACGGAGGAUGCGAGCGUUAUCCGGAUUUAUUGGGUUUAAAGGGUGCGUAGGCGGAUUGAUAAGUCAGUGGUGAAAACCUGCAGCUUAACUGUAGACUUGCCGUUGAUACUGUCAGUCUUGAGUGUGGUCAAGGUAGGCGGAAUGUGUAAUGUAGCGGUGAAAUGCUUAGAUAUUACACAGAACACCGAUUGCGAAGGCAGCUUACUGGGCCAUUACUGACGCUGAUGCACGAAAGCGUGGGGAUCGAACAG
rnacentral:rRNA from 1 species